rnacentral:lncRNA from 1 species
CUUCUUGGUGGAUUUGAUCUAGUCACGUCAUUACAUACAGAGUUACUCAUCGAGGUCCACUGUUCUUCCCCAGUAGCUAUAAGGAUGCCUUUAGGCCUGGGGGUCUCACCCUCUGGCACCAUAAUGAUAUCAGAUAAAGAUUUGUCCAUGCAGUUUUUCUGGCAUAAUACAGAAGUGGUUUGCCAUUACCUUCUUCUGGGAUGUUUAUCAAUGUCCUUGUCUAGAUCCGCACUGUUCUGUGGAAACGGGGGUACCUCAAGAAGGAUGUGGCUCUUCGCCACGCAAUGCGAUCUUGGUAAAGAAGUGGCUAGGAUUCAGAACAGAGAUGAAAUGCAUCACCUUAUCCUGAUCUAAGACCUUCCCCCCAUAACAUAUAUUAUAUUAUAUUUUAUAGUAUUCAUAGUAUAGACAAGCCAAUUUU